rnacentral:lncRNA from 1 species
UGUCAGGCUGCCGGCCCUGUCUCCAUGGAUACCUAAUUUGGAGGAGAAUAGAGGACUGAAGAAUGUUUGUGUUGUCCGCACGGGCUGUGGCGGCGGAGCGGUCUCCUGCUUUCCGCCCGGCAGCGAGGAGUGGGGACCCGGUUCCAGCCCAACUCUGGGCUUACGGCGCAGGGCCAAGUCCCAGGCAAAGAGGAGCCCCAGAUGCAGACCCAAGAGGAGACAGGCACUGGAAGGACCUCACCAGCCCCAGAUCACAGGGCCACCCCAAGUGGACAGAGGACAGUCCAUGGCGGCCUCCACUGAGCACCUGCGCCCUCCCCGCAGUGCCCAUCACUGAGUGCACAGGUGUGAGGCUGCGUUGUGUGCUAGAAACAGAGCCUCAGGGAGGGGAACUGACUUCAGACAGGGCAAAGCGCAGAGUCAACUGCAAAUCCCUGUUCCUCAAUGAAAAAGCAAGUCAUCUUUUUAAAAAGUAAUUGCUGACAAAAAGUCAUGACUAUCAUUAAAAAGUCCAGGUCAUCCUCG